AUGCAAGUCAAGGAGGUGUAGCAAUACAUCGACUGGCGCACGGGUGCGGAACACGUAGGUAAUCUGCCCUUUAGGGGAGAACAACCAGUCGAAAGAUUGGCUAAAUCUCCGUAACGUCACGAUGUGGCAUCACAUUGUGACCAAGCUUUCUAAAGGAUGAGCCUGCGUCUGAUUAGCUAGUUGGUAGUGUAAUGGACUACCAAGGCUACGAUCAGUAGCUGGUCUGAGAGGAUGAUCAGCCACAUUGGGACUGAGACACGGCCCAGACUCCUACGGGAGGCAGCAGUGAGGAAUAUUGCUCAAUGGACGAAAGUCUGAAGCAGCAACGCCGCGUGAGGGAUGAAGGUGCUCUGCAUUGUAAACCUCUGUAGUCGGGGAAAAACGACGGGUUACUACCCGUUUGAUGGUACCCGAAAAGUAAGGAUCGGCUAACUACGUGCCAGCAGCCGCGGUAAUACGUAGGAUCCAAGCGUUGUCCGGAUUUACUGGGUGUAAAGGGUGCGCAGGCGGACUUAUAAGUUAGAGGUGAAAUCUCACGGCUCAACCGUGAAACUGCCUUUGAUACUGUAGGUCUUGAAUUGGGGAGAGAGAUGUGGAAUUCCGAGUGUAGCAGUGAAAUGUGUAGAUAUUCGGAAGAACACCAGUGGCGAAG
rnacentral:rRNA from 1 species